rnacentral:lncRNA from 1 species
CCAGAGUGGAGUUGAGAGGAGGGCAGUGAUCAGCUGUGUUCUCAGGACUCCUGCCUCCAGCAGGAAGUCACUGAGCUACACAGUCUGCGUUAUCCACACAGAGAAAGGUGAUUGAGAAAAAUGGACAGAUGCCCAAGGCAGCUGUAAUUGUUCCUGAUGGAAGCUGAUUUCUAGACUCAGCAGCCUGGACUGUCCUCUGGGGACUGGAACCUGGGAGGCAGUCCAUCAACUGUCACUGGACAAACCCACGGAUGAAGAGACGCAGGAGCCAUCCUACCACUAUGUCUCCCUCAGAAUCAGGCAUUAUGUGGUUAGAAUGUUUUAAUUUACCUUGAUUUUUUUCAGGUCAUACCAGUCCUAGAAAGGCAUAUGUUUUUACCACUGCCCCUUAGCUCAAGAUAAGCUACCAUCUUCUUGGGAGACAUCUCUAUCCAGACAUGGGUGCCUCCAAAGUCUGGCUUGGCAUUUAUCUCCUCUUCUCUCAGGCUGCUUGAUUCUGUGUUCCAAGAACCUUAAAUGUCAAUGUCUCGGGAGUUCCCAUUGUGGCUCAACAGCUAAACCACCAAGGCAGGGGCCUGAUGUCUUGGAGUUCCAUGAAGACGAGGCCUUGAUUAGUCUGCAAAGCCCGUUUCAAGUGUGGGGCACACAUCUAAAGCCAGGAGAGCUUGACAGCUGCUGUUCUUGAUGCCAGCCUGCCUCUGUAACGAGGAAAAUUGCACACAAGCUCAGUCCUCAAGAGAUGUCAAGAGAAUAUCUCGUGCAAUCUAUUGCAUUUGCAGUGGAUAAGCAAUGAGAUCCUGCCGUGUGGCACAGGGAACUAUAUCUAGUCACUUAUAAUGGAACAUGAUGGAAGAUAAUGGGAAAAAAGAAUGUAUAUAUGUGUGUGACUGGGUCACUUUGCUGUACAGUAGAAAUGGAUAGAACACUGCAAACCAACUUAAUGGAAAAAGUAAAAAUCAUUCAAAGUGAAAAACAAAAAUAAAAAAAAAAAGAGAGUAUCUCA